AGUAAACACAUCCCCUCGCAGCAAUUCAGCACGCAUGAAUCCCAUUGUCGAUGACGCGCAGGACCACCCAUUGCCCAAUCGUUCUUUCCAUGCACCGCGGAUGCCCCGCCCAUAUCCCUCUCGCCCCAAAUGCAAUCCACGCCUCGCCACCAUGGAAGGAAUCGCAACCUAAUCCCCUCAUCGCCAUCCAGCGCACAGGACCACCAUCGGCCCGCAUCCCAUCGCAAGUGUAGGACCACCCCGCCUGGAUCUUUUGAUGCUCGAGUACUUCCCAUUCUACGCGCCAGCCCUGCCCAGAUCUUGCGAUGCUCGAGUAUGAGAUGGAAGACACCUCUUUAAGCGCUCAAAUCUGAACAUCACACCUCUCUUCACAAACAUUAAUAUGAUAUACAGUAUGCUGUCCAAAGUGUUGUCUAAAAAUAUAUCUACCUGACCUCAAUAUUCAUGGUUACCCUUUAUAUGAAACUGUAAUUCCUGACAGAUCACGACAUUUAUAUGAAAUUGUAGACUUAUCCAAAUUUUUUGAUGGUUCAAAUUAUGUAUUAUAUAUCUCUACUACUCUAUAAGAACCUAACGUAGACCGCGGUGCACGGUUCUGCCUUCUCACGGCGCAUACGACCCACAUGUUAGUGUCUCCCUUCUUCCCCGUGCGCGCCCUCUCUCCCUCUACCCCUGCAUCCGCAUGGUAUCGCCGCAAUCCCCUCACCGAUUAAUGCCUCAGCCAUGGAAGGAAAAAUCAUGUCACUACCACAGAAGUAAACACAUCCCCUUGCCGCUAUCCACGCCUCGCAGCAAUCCAACACGUAGGAAUCCCAUUGCCGGUGACGCGCAGGACCACCCAUUGCCUAAUCAUUCUUUCCAUGCACCGUGGAUGCCCCGCCCAUAUCCUUCUCGCCCCAAACGCAAUCCACGCCUCGCCACCAUGGAAGGAAUCGCAACCCAAUCCCCUCAUCGCCAUCCAGCGCACAGGACCACCGUCGGCCCGCAUCCCAUCGCAAGUGCAGGACCACCCCGCCAUCUCAUUCUUUCCAUUCUACGCGUCAGCCCCGUCUGGAUCUUCCGAUGCUCGAGUACUUCCCAUUCUACGCGCCAGCCCCGCCCAGAUCUUGCGAUGCUCGAGUAUGAGAUGGAAGACACCUCUCUGAGCGCUCAAAUCUGAACACCACACCUUUCUUCACAAACAUUAAUAUGGUAUGCAGUAUGCUAUCCAAAGUUUUGUCUAAAAAUAUAUCUACCUGACCUCAAUAUUCAUGGUUUCCCUUUAUAUGAAACUGUAGUUCCUGACAGAUCACGACAUUUAUAUGAAACAGUAGACUUAUCCAAAUUUUUUGAUGGUUCAAACUAUGUCCUAUAUAUCUCUACUACUCUAUAAGAACCUAACGUAGACCGUGGUGCACGGUUCUGCUUUCUCACGACGCAUACAACCCACAUGCUAGUGUCUCCCUUCUUCCCCGUGCGCGCCCUCUCCCCUCUACCCCUGCAUCCGCAUGGUAUCGCCGCAAUCCCCUCACCGAUUAAUGCCUCAGCCAUGGAAGGAAAAAUCCCGUCACUGCCACAGAAGGAAACACAUCCCCUCGCCGCUAUCCACGCCUCGCAGCAAUCCAGCACGCAGGAAUCCCAUUGUCGGUGACGCGUAGGACCACCCAUUGCCCAAUCGUUCUUUCCAUGCAUCGCGGAUGCCCUGCCCAUAUCCUUCUCGUCCCAAACGCAAUCCAUGCCUCGCCACCAUGGAAGGAAUCGCAACCCAAACCCCUCAUCGCCAUCCAGUGCACAGGACCACCAUCGGCCCGCAUCCCAUCGCAAGUGCAGGACCACCCCGCCAUCUCAUUCUUCCCAUUCUACGCGCCAGCCCCGCCUGGAUCUUCCGAUGCUCGAGUACUUCCCAUUCUACGCGCCAGCCCCACCCAUAUCUUGCGAUGCUCGAGUAUGAGAUGGAAGACACCUCUCUGAGCGCUCAAAUCUGAACACCACACAUCUCUUCACAAACAUUAAUAUGAUAUGCAGUAUGCUAUCCAAAGUUUUGUCUAAAAAUAUAUCUAUCUGGCCUCAAUAUUCAUGGUUUCCCUUUAUCACGACAUUUAUAUGAAACUGUAGACUUAUCCAAAAAUUUUGAUGGUUCAAAAUAUGUCCUAUAUACCAGUUUAAUAUGUUCAACGUGUUGCAGUUCUUGUCAGAUCACGAAUAUUAAUCCGUUCAAGGUGAUCCAAUCCCCUUAGCCCUAUCCUUUGUCUUAUUAGUCCAUACUUCUAUACACUGUGUUGUUUCAGUUCGGUGUCUCUAUCCUGAACUUCUGUGUCUGUGGUAAAGUACCCCAUCUAAUGACAUUCUUAGUCGCGGUAAAUUGUUGAAUUAAGAAGAAAAUGUGUUGCGACACAGUUGUCUAUCUUUACACUUUUGUGAAUUGAUUUAAGGGUGUCACUGUUUUUUUCCCAAUUCAUCUAUCAGUCUGCUACACAAAUUCGUGAUCUCCCUUUAUUUUAAUUGUGAGCCAACUAUGUCUAUCUUCACACUUUUGUGAAUUGAUUUAAGGGUGUCACUAUUUUUUCCAAUUCAUCUAUCAGGCUGCUACACAAAUUCUUGACCGCUCUUUAUUUUAAUUGUGGAUUGAUUUAAGGAUUUUGCUCGACCUUUCACUUCCCAGUAUGAAGCAAAGAUCUUGCCUGGCUUGAUCUAUCGAAUGAAGCAGCCAAAAAUCGUGCUGCUGAUUUUUGUUUCCGGCAAGAUUGUUCUGACAAGAGCUAAGGUGAGAGAUGAGACAUUGCUUUUGAAAUUAUCUAUCCAGUCCUCGUAAAGUCAUAAAAGUCCGGCAAUGCUAAGUACAUGGUAAUUGCUAAUGGGCAAGAAUAAUUAGGGUACGUUGUUCAAGUAUGUGCCCAGUUGUUGUUGUUCUCCCACCUUUUAUCGUUUUGUUUCCUGAUUUCGACGAUACCAUUACCUGGGGCGCUCACGAGACUUAUAUAAUAUACUAUCCUUCUAUGGAAUCAAUGUGUUGAUUAAUAUCCGCUACAUAUUUAUCAUUGUUUAUUUUUUAUCAAUGA